rfam:Myotis lucifugus cont2.24525, whole genome shotgun sequence.
GCCGGUUUGGCUCAGUGGGUAGAGCGUUGGUCUGCAGACCAAAGGGUCCCGGGUUCGAUUCCAGUCAAGGGCA